UACGUAGGGCGCAAGCGUUGUCCGGAAUUAUUGGGCGUAAAGAGCUCGUAGGCGGUUUGUCGCGUCUGCCGUGAAAACCUAAGGCUCAACCUUGGGCUUGCAGCGGGUACGGGCAGACUAGAGUGCGGUAGGGGUGACUGGAAUUCCUGGUGUAGCGGUGGAAUGCGCAGAUAUCAGGAGGAACACCGAUGGCGAAGGCAGGUCUCUGGGCCAUUACUGACACUGAGAAGCGAAAGCAUGGGGAGCGAACAGG
rnacentral:rRNA from 1 species